rnacentral:rRNA from 1 species
GGCACUCGUCGCCUUUGUGGGAAAACCGUGGCGGCGUCGGCAGGUUUCGGUCUCGCCUUCCUGUCAUCUUCCCUCAACUCACAGCUUUCAGGAAUGAAGGAGGGUAGUUCGGGGGAGAACGUAGUGGUGUGUCAGAGGUGAAAUUCUUAGACCGCCCCAAGACGAACUACAGAGAAGGCAUUUUUCAAGGAUACCUUCCUCAAUCAAGAACCAAAGUGUGGGGAUAGAAGAUGAUUAGAGACCAUUGUAGUCCACACCGCAAACGAUGACACCCAUGAAUUGGGGAGUUUUUGGUCGCAGGAGAGGUCGGGUUCAUCUCGCUCCUUGUCUCGCCAAUGAAUAACAAUUUACGUGCAUAUUCUUUUCGGUCCUCGCAAGGGGGCCUUUAACGGGAAUAUCCUCAGCACGU